rnacentral:rRNA from 1 species
GUGGCGCACGGGUGCGUAACGCGUAUGCAACCUACCUUAAUCAGGGGGAUAGCCCGAAGAAAUUCGGAUUAAGACCGCAUAAAAACACAGGAUAGCAUUAUCCAAUGUUCAAAUAUUUAUAGGAUUAAGAUGGGCAUGCGUGUCAUUAGCUAGUUGGCGGGGUAACGGCCCACCAAGGCGACGAUGACUAGGGGAUCUGAGAGGAUGACCCCCCACACUGGUACUGAGACACGGACCAGACUCCUACGGGAGGCAGCAGUAAGGAAUAUUGGUCAAUGGAGGGAACUCUGAACCAGCCAUGCCGCGUGCAGGAAGACAGCCCUCUGGGUCGUAAACUGCUUUUAUUCGGGAAUAAACCUACUUACGUGUAAGUAGCUGAAUGUACCGAAGGAAUAAGGAUCGGCUAACUCCGUGCCAGCAGCCGCGGUAAUACGGAGGAUCCAAGCGUUAUCCGGAUUUAUUGGGUUUAAAGGGUGCGUAGGCGGCUUAUUAAGUCAGGGGUGAAAGACGGUGGCUCAACCAUCGCAGUGCCCUUGAUACUGAUGAGCUUGAAUACACUAGAGGUAGGCGGAAUGUGACAAGUAGCGGUGAAAUGCAUAGAUAUGUCACAGAACACCGAUUGCGAAGGCAGCUUACUAUGGGUGUUAUUGACGCUGAGGC